rnacentral:misc_RNA from 1 species
AGUUCAACGUAUUUUAUUCAAUCUAGAGUGUCACAGUCAUGUUGUUUUAAGUAUUCAUAUGUUCGUAGGGACAGGUCACAGAAAACAGGGUUUCUUUAACGGUCAAUGAUUUACAUAAACAAAAUGAAAAUAUGUACAGCUAUUACGUAAAUGUAUAUGACAUGUAUAUACAAGUUAUUAGAUUGAUACUCUCGGUAAUGUUUUGAAUUAACUACAUGUAUACUUUAGGCUUAAUUGCUGAAAAACCAAACUCGGUCAUUGCUCGAAAACGUUUUAUUCAUGUAUAUAUAAAACUUUAACACUGAAAAUCAAUUUAAAAAUUCAUUGUCGAGUAUUUUCAUUCUGGUUGUAUUAAAACAAACUAAAUAUUACAUGUUGUUGUAAUAAACAUGUACAUGCUAUACAACAAAAAAAGUUAAUGUCAGUGAUUUCCUGGUCAUCCUGUAGUCACCUCGGGGACGGGGAAGGCGAGGACGAGGGCGAAGACGAGGUCAAGGUCAAGGUCAAGACCCGUGCUACUUAGUCUACCCUGAACACUAAACGUACACUGUAUAUAAAUUGAGUUUUUUAAACUGUAAAGAGGAAAUAGCGCUAGCUUUAUAACGCUUAUUAUAUGAAAUGAUUCUUUUUUCAUGACAUGUAUUUUUAGCAAGCUCCCUGCUAUGUUGGAAAACUUAGUUUAUAACUGAGAAAUAAGCUAUAUAUAGGGUAUAACAUGAUGUAAUAUGUGUUUGACGAUUGUCUGUGAUCUAUUUUAUUUUACUUUUUAUGUGUUAUGUCAUAUUUGUUCUUAGAAUAAUUUAAGCAAAUAAAGCACGAGCCAUUGUUAAGACUGCCUAGUACGAUACAUAACAUUAUAAAUACACAACAAUUCUAGUUAAGGUUCGAUUAUGUAUGAUAUCCAUUAUAUUAUUAUCAAGAAUAUCCAUGAACAGGGAAGAACAUUUUACAUUUGAAGUACUUUGCUGUAUGGUUUUCUAUAAAUAUAGAUGUUUAUUUCUGAACGAAAAGGAAAUAUUUCAAUGCAAAAAUUCUUCGAAGAGGAAGUAAUUCUUGAUUGUAUCAUGCAUGUAUGUUACAUGCACUUGGUUUUCAAGAAUAAUUUCUGAAUAAAAAUGUUUUUAUUAAAAAAUUGAAAAUAACUUUAAAAGUAUACUUGAUAAGCAAAACGUGUUAGAAAAGUAACCUGGGUCUCAAACUCGAAUUAUACUUUUUUUCGCCCUACGGUGAACAUUUUUUUCUAAAUUAAAAGCAAAACUAUAUAUGAUGCGGGAUUUUGUUUAUACUUGAUAGUGAGAACACUAUACCAUUGCUUUUGUUAGAAGAUUAAUGUCGGACUACAAAUAAAAACAGUAUUUGAUUUCUUUGCUAUUAAAAAAGAUGAGCACUUUAUCUAAUUGUUUUACUAUAUAUACAUGUACAAAACUGUGAAACCGUUUUCUUUCGUUUCGGUAAUGAAAGUCUUUGUGGUUUCUUGUUUUUGUUUGAUUUAUUUAGUUUUGUCUUCUGCAUCGUAUAUAGUAUCUCUAUGUAGGGACUUCUAAGGAUCUUGCACAUACUACAUGUAUGUCAUGUCGGAGUACUUAAUCAAUACCCGAUAAGAAGAUUGUUACACAAGUUUUGGAAUAAACUUUUUAACAUAUU